rnacentral:rRNA from 1 species
CCGGAGCUUGCUCCACCGGAAAAAGAAGAGUGGCGAACGGGUGAGUAACACGUGGGUAACCUGCCCAUCAGAAGGGGAUAACACUUGGAAACAGGUGCUAAUACCGUAUAACAAUCGAAACCGCAUGGUUUUGAUUUGAAAGGCGCUUUCGGGUGUCGCUGAUGGAUGGACCCGCGGUGCAUUAGCUAGUUGGUGAGGUAACGGCUCACCAAGGCCACGAUGCAUAGCCGACCUGAGAGGGUGAUCGGCCACAUUGGGACUGAGACACGGCCCAAACUCCUACGGGAGGCAGCAGUAGGGAAUCUUCGGCAAUGGACGAAAGUCUGACCGAGCAACGCCGCGUGAGUGAAGAAGGUUUUCGGAUCGUAAAACUCUGUUGUUAGAGAAGAACAAGGAUGAGAGUAACUGUUCAUCCCUUGACGGUAUCUAACCAGAAAGCCACGGCUAACUACGUGCCAGCAGCCGCGGUAAUACGUAGGUGGCAAGCGUUGUCCGGAUUUAUUGGGCGUAAAGCGAGCGCAGGCGGUUUCUUAAGUCUGAUGUGAAAGCCCCCGGCUCAACCGGGGAGGGUCAUUGGAAACUGGGAGACUUGAGUGCAGAAGAGGAGAGUGGAAUUCCAUGUGUAGCGGUGAAAUGCGUAGAUAUAUGGAGGAACACCAGUGGCGAAGGCGGCUCUCUGGUCUGUAACUGACGCUGA